CCGGGCCCCUCGAGUGAAAAUACCAGCCCUCACCACUCCGCAGUCUGCCCCCCAGCCCACUGAUAGCAACCAUCAUAAUGCCCCACCCAGCUCCCGGCACCUUUCGCCACUCCGGCACAAACCAACACAGCUUUGCGAUCUCGCCAGCAUGCAGAGUCUGAUGUCUUCCCUAUAGAUGAUUCCAGAGACUCUGUGAGGCCACUAUUACAAGGCAAGUUUGAAAAUCUUGGAAUUUCACAGUUUACAUGGUAUAACAAAUAUAUGUAACAGGCAAAAACUAGUAAACACUUUUAGCAGUUACAAGAACUAACAAAUGAAUAUCCAACAAAAGGGAAUAGAAAUACAUUGUACUGCCAAUACUUUGGUUUAUUCUUUGUAUGACUUGAAAAUCAGGCUUUAGGGAAAACUAAAUGACAUGUUUCUAUCAUCAAUUACAUGAAGUAAACACACAAGCACUUGCAUACACAUUUAAGACAUGAGACACGCUAAUUCCAUCUCUUAAAAUGUGUCUAUAGGUGAGACGCUUUGCAUUGAUUGGUGCUGCUGAACCACACUGGAGGUGCGAGUCCGCCGUGUAAUGGUUUAUGCCAUUACAAAGGAGCUGGCCUCUGUACUCAACUGGGCAGGGGAAAAAAACAAAGGACCAGACAAAGCAAAAAAGGGCAUUUAAAGAGACAGCGCUGUGCAGAUGCAUAUUUGAUGGCCUGGCGCAGCAGGUAGGGGCGAACUCUAUGUCUGAGUUGGUCUUUGCUCAAGCAGUCCAGAAAUGGCUCAGAUAUGAUCCAGAUCGUACGGGUGGCACGCAGGACGCACAUCAUCCAUCCCCAUCCCGGAGUAAAUAAUAAAAAGUGACGUGAAACAUAGAAAUGUAAAUAGGAAACUUUGUCUUUUAAUAAAGUAUUUUGC